UACGUAGGGUGCAAGCGUUGUCCGGAAUUAUUGGGCGUAAAGAGCUCGUAGGCGGUUUGUCGCGUCGGCUGUGAAAUCUCGGGGCUUAACCCCGAGCCUGCAGUCGAUACGGGCAGACUUGAGUUCGGUAGGGGAGACUGGAAUUCCUGGUGUAGCGGUGAAAUGCGCAGAUAUCAGGAGGAACACCGGUGGCGAAGGCGGCUGACUGGUCCGGUUCUGACGCUGAGGCGCGAAAGCGUGGGGAGCAAACAGG
rnacentral:rRNA from 1 species